GUGCUCACUUUGGCAGCAUAUAUAUUAAAAUUGGAACGAUAUGGAGAUUAGCAUGGCCCCUGCACAAAGAUGACAUGCAAAUUCAUGAAGCAUUCCAUAUUAAG
rnacentral:snRNA from 1 species